AAUUUUGAAGGCAUCCAACUUUCAUUUUUUUUCCUUCUUCAAUUUGCAGAGAACUUGUAAGAGAGAGUUUGGAAGAAGAAGAGGAAUUUUACUAGAAUUUUGAGGUUGAAGAAGAGGAGGAGAACUCAAGCAAAGUGUAUCCAUGGCUGAAUUUUAGUUCAUUCUGCACAUCACUAGUUUUUAAUUCGGUUUAAACUCUUCAAAAGGAAUUAAGAGGACAGUUGGUUUUCACUUGAAAUCAGAAGGUCUCUGGUUUUUCUUGUAUUUCAGAGUGUACCGGUGGAGUUAGAAUCUCUAUUUGGGAGAACUUAAAGAAGUCGUGUGCGCGCGAUUCUGGAAGUGGUUCUGUUUCGAGGGUUAUCUGAGUUUAUGUACGGAGAAUCAGAUUUACAUGUCUUCAGGCCGAGAAGAAUUAAACCGAGCUUAUAGACCAAGGAUCUAGUCGAAGACGGUCGAGAUCGAGUUUCCGGUGCCUGAUAGACUACCUUAGUCUGCUGAAGCUCCAUUAUCGAUUGCCAGUACGUGUUUUGAGUUAGGUAUAGAGUCUAUUGUGUUGUGAUGUAUAUAUACCCUUGUAUGUUAUAGAUACUCCACAGUUUGUAUAAGCUUUAGGAGUUGUAGUUGUGUAAAUUUUGUUGGUUAUAUUUUGAUUAAGGUGUCUUUAGGUUUACUCGUGAAAUCGGUAAAUUUUGAGGUACACUUCAUGUAUGUGUUUGACUAGUUGUGUUUGACUAGCUUAGGAUCCGCUGUGUUUUGUUGCAUGUAUAAUAUUUUAUAUACUAGAUUGGAAAGUUCAUCAUAUGAAAGUUUUAAGCAGAGUCGACAGAUACAGGUACAUAAAAGCGUUGUUCGUCGGCUUCAUGCCAUCUUUCGGUCUAAGGUAGCAGGUAGUCCGGGAGGGGGUGUGACAGUCUUAAAUAGCACAAUUUUGAGUCAUAUAGCACAAUUUUGAGUUAUCUAUUGUGAUAGACUUUAUUGUAGA